UACGGGGGGGGCAAGCGUUGUCCGGAAUCAUUGGGCGUAAAGAGCGUGUAGGCGGCCCGAUAAGUCCGCCGUGAAAGUCCAGGGCUCAACCCUGGAAUGCCGGUGGAAACUGUCGGGCUGGAGUCCGGAAGAGGCGAGUGGAAUUCCUGGUGUAGCGGUGAAAUGCGCAGAUAUCAGGAGGAACACCAAUGGCGAAGGCAGCUCGCUGGGACGGUACUGACGCUGAGACGCGAAAGCGUGGGGAGCAAACAGG
rnacentral:rRNA from 1 species